rnacentral:lncRNA from 1 species
GGAAGCCUGGUCUGGCCUGGAGGCCUCUCAGCUGCUCUGUGACCUUGGACUGUAGCUCAGCCUCUGGACCAAUGAGCAAGGCCUAGAAAAUUCUUGGUUUUCUUCCUCUUACCUCAUCGUCACCAGCCCGAGUGUUUGGUUAGGUUUUUCUGCCACUGGAUUGGAGAUGGGGGCUGGGAAGACGACCAGGGUCCAGGAGGCCACAUUGCCAUACAAUGCUGGGAAAGAGCCACACCAAAUCAAUCAGCUGAUGCUUUUUUUUUUUUAGUAAUGGGUGCUGUCCCCAGCACCAAGAAAAGAAAAAAAAAAAAAGAAAGAAAAGAAAAGAAGCAAAACAAAAGCAACAAUUAACAUGACAUUUAGUAAAUGUGACAAUGAUGGUGACCCUGGGCUGAUGUCUGCUCUGGCAUAGAGUGAGGAGCAGGCAGGCCAUGUGCAGACAGGUGGGGACAGGUGGAAAUGCCCCCUCAGAAGCAGCUCACUGCUGAGCAGAGCCCCUGUUUGGCCUGGGGCAAGUGGCCACCAGCAGGCACCCUGCAGGUGUGGGCGCUUCCCCAGGGCCAAUGCCACCUCUGGUCACCUUGUUUGUGCCUCACUUCUUCCUUCAGAAGUUCUCCUCCCCACUGUAAGGACAAAAAGUGGAAGUCAUUUAUCAAGGCCACUGUCACCAGGGGGCAGGGCUGGCUCAUGCUGGGCUUUGGUGCUUUCCAUGGGUUGUGACCUCAGGUCAGGGCUCCUUCCUGGACCCAGCCUCCUUGCUCUGGGUCAACAACGAAAUGGUGUGAGAUGACCUGGGUGGGGGGUCCUCCCUCUCCCCUGCCUCACACUGACUGCUCCCACCCACACCCCCUUCCAGAACCAUCAGGGUGCCACCUCCAGUCCUUUCCUGAAGGCUUGGCCUCCGUGUCUGUACCUGAGGGGCUCCAGUCCACCCUCUGCAGCUGGCCUGCCCAG